rnacentral:lncRNA from 1 species
AAACAGAGGGACAGAGGGUCAACCGGACGAGAGCUCAGAGCUCUUCUUCUGCACUUCUGCUUCACUUGGCCAACGAUUUCUCCUCUUCUCAGCCGCGACCUCGUCUCCUCUUCUCAUUCAGUCUCUCCCUCGCCCUUUUGCCUUUGCGCAUAUGAGAUUUUGAAGGUAACAAACUUAGGGCUUUUUAUUUGAUAAUUUAAAUUUUUUAAUUUGUUAGAAUUUGUUGUUGGUUGUGGACUUGGGGAGUUGGGUUAAACCCAAUUCAAUUUAUUUGAUAUAUUUGUUGUAUUGGACUUGAGGUAGCUAAUUAAGGUUUUUUUAUUUUGAUAUUUUUUAAAUUUUUAGGGCUUUUUUUUUAUUAUAAUUUUUCUGUCGUUAUAUAUAUAUAUAUAUAUAUAUAUAUAUAUAUAUAUAGUUCUGAUCUCUUGCUUCAUAUGUAUUUGUGCUGCUUUUAUGGGUAUAUUCAUGAAGUUUUUGCAAUUGGGUGAAUUAGAAAUUGCUUUAAUUUUAUGUACAGGACUUAUGGAUCUUUUGAUAUUUGAUGAUUGCGGAAUUUAGUGAUGCACCAGCACACCAUUAUCUUAAUGUUAUAUUAUACUCUUCUUUGCUUUGAGAGCUCAAGCAUAAAUGGUAUUCUAGAUGCAUAGGUUUAUCCUGUUCUAUUAAAUUUUGGAAGCUUUUUGUGUGUGUAUGUUUAUAUGCUGACUGGAGGACCCGGAACUAGAUAGUGCAUUUGUUUAUGAAUUGUAGACUGUAUUUUUUUUAAUAUGUGCCUCAUUGAUGUAAUUUAAAGGAAGACCAUAACUGCAACAACUUGAGCAUAUUAUAAUUUAAUUUUUUUGAAUUUGUUGUUUUUGUAAAUUGUGAGUUGAUUUUAACUAUUAGGGUUUGAUUUUGUUUGAACAUUGAAAGCAAAUUUGGUAUGAAGCUUUGUGCACACGGUUGAAAUUGUAAGUGUUUAGAGAAUCAUUCAAAUUGAAUUAUAACAAGUAAUCGAAGUAAGUUUCUAAAUUCUAUCUAAAUGUUUAUUUAUUUUGAAAUUUCUUUUUUAUUUUGGGUUAUGAUUUAUGAAUAUUUAUUUGUUGAUGUUGCUACUGCCACGGUGGAGAGAUUAUUUUCAGCGAUGAAUAUUAUUAAAACUACUAUUCGAAAUCAAAUGUGCGAUAAAUGGUUGAGUGAUUGUUUGGUUCCUUACAUUGAAAAUGAUGUAUUUGAAAGUAUUGAUAAUGAAGCUAUCUUAGAACAUUUUCAAGCUAUGAGGUCUAAGAGGAUAGCAUUGUAAUUUGUAAACACUAUUAUGAUUAGUUCAAAUUUUCUUUAUUUAACUUCAGCAAAAAAAUUAAUUAAAUCCUCGCCUGCUGAGAUUUAUUCCUGGAUCCGCCCCUGGUUCGACUCAAAUUGCAGUAUCCAUUUUCUUCAGCACACUGUAGAGAGAUGGUGAAGAGAGAGAAAAGGUGAAAGCUCCAAGAAAGCGGAG